AUGAACGACUUCAUCAUAACCGAAUCAAGAAUAUUUUCAUCAUCCUCAUGUUCAACAAUUCUGAAUCAUACAAAAUCGCAACAACACAUAAAUGGAGUAGAAGAUAAAGAGGAAGCAAAAGGAAGAAAUGGAGUUGCAUACCUAAUUCGUCACUUUGAGAAAGCAUUGGACGUUCUCUCGAAGGUAAGAUUCAGAGAUGAGGACGAACCAGACUGUAGAGAUGUGAAGUUGAAUCAGAGAAGGUUGAGAAUCAGACGGAGAGGUCACAGACGCGGCGAACCACGGUGA